rnacentral:lncRNA from 1 species
CGUGCGCGCAGUGCCGUUUCCGCCCGGCCUGGGGAGCAGCCGUCGUACCGCUGCCAGGGGGAGGGGCUGGCGCUGCCGCCGCGGGCUUGCUGCCGCCGGCCGCCCAGGAAACGCCGUGGCGCUCAGCCGGGCCUAGUGCCGCGCGGGGCCCGAGGAACGGGCCGGCCAGGAGGAAUGAAUACCUUUCUUCUCUGAUUAACCAUUUGGCACUGGUCGCUGUCAGGGUGGUGGUGUGCUGCUGGGAUGGAGCUCAGUAUCCCAGUGCAUUUGUUAAAGGUGGAGCUGCUGGUUGAGGCGUGCAGGAUGUGACAUGGGAACACGUUAGCGUCAGUGCCAUCUUUGGGAACCACACCUCACGGGGAGCCCUGCUGCAUGUCAGGUCCUGGCCUCGCUGAUCAAACCCAUAACGCUGUUUUCUGGAAGCAAAAAUUCCAGGAGCAGAAUAGUAUGGGAGAGAUUGAAACGCUCUGAAAUCUUCUUGGCUGACUGCAGCCAUGCUGAGGGUGUGGAGCUCCGAGCAGCCCUCACACAUAGAGCACCAGCUGGUCUCCAGCCAUGGUUCUGUGAUUCCAUGAAACGCACCCAGCGCUGGAGCAGAGCACAGUGGGACAGCCCCAGCAGGCUGGGAUUUCCUGGUGGUACCAAAACCAUCUCCUAAAGCACAGCAAGCCAUCUCCAGUGCCCCUUAGCCUUUGUUCGCUGUCUCCCUGUACGUUGUAAUGGGGAAUUACCUGGUGGCUUGCAUCUUGUUGAAUAAGUGACGCUGCUUUGGCAAAGCCCUGGCCUACUUUUUACUGUCAUAUCCCAAGUGACUCGAAAGCAGUAUUCCUGCUGGUGUUGUCUGAGAUUAUAUAGCCUGUAGUGGCAUGGUGAAAUCCCAGGUAUGUUGGAUCCCCUUACAGAAAGAGUGCUCUGUGAUAGCCAGAAAUAAUGGGUCAAAGUUGAGAAAUCCCAUCGCAAAGAAAAUGGCAUUGAAUGAGCAUCUCGGAGCUCGCACAAGCUUGUGCCCUGCUUCUGGGCAAAGAAUGGAAACCAAAGGAGUGGUUCGUUUCAAUUCUCUAAAUACUCUGUGGAGUUAUUUUUUAAGAAGAAAGAUUAUUAAUUCCAAUGUUGAGGUGCAAAGCAGUCAGCAGAGACCUGAGUGCGCAUUGCCCAGCCGUGUGGUUUAUCACCACGCCUGGCCUGCCCGUCCUUUCCUUUUGGGCACCCAGGCUUUUUCCAACUUGUCUUGGAUGAUGUGAUGAGAUAAAAAUGUUUCUCUCUACUCUGGCAAUAGUAAAACAAACGUAAUGGGCACCCAGAGUUUUGAACACUCAGAGAUCAUUGUUCUCGUGGCAGUGUUGCUGCAUUACAAAUGCACAUUUGUGUUCUUACUCCGGUGCUGCUUUUGUGUGUAGUUGAGGACCCGACCAGCGAGAUCUCGUGUUACGCUGCCUGCAUAAAGGUUGCAGUCGGCGCUGCUUUUCAUGCAAGACGUAGCAGCGGUACUUUUGUUGAGAGCGUUGGAUGUAUGCUUCAAUCUAUAGCGUGUGAGACGUUAAAUCUCAGGUGAUGUGAAACUAAAGCUGUUUGAUUGAAAAAUAAAUAUUUUGUAGCACCAUCCUUGGCUGUUUAUUUUUUUUUACUCUGUCAAAAUUAAAUAACCCCCCCCCCCCCAAACUAUGUGUGUUAAAGCUGUUAGAGAUUGAAGGCAGCCUUUGGCUUACGUGACUGCUUGAGGCAAGGGUUAGCACACAGCCAGUUUGCGCUUCCAUUCUUAAAUUAGAGACAGUUUUGUAUAAAUCUGGCUUAACCUAAACCUUUUGCUGAUUUUGAUCAUGGAAAGAGCCUCGGACUGUAACUCAGCAAGAGUUCCACCUCUUGGAAUUCUGGGAGCUGAGGUUUUUUCACUUCUGAACUCCUUAGUGAAGUUUUUGGGGGCUUCUUGGUGGUUUUUUUCCCCCGGGAUUUACUGUUUUGAUGGCGGUUUCCCAGCGCUCCUGCAGCCCCUGUCCUUGCUGAGCGGGGAGAGCAUGCGCUGCUGCUGGGCUCCCCACGGUGUGCAGGGGGUGGGACUUGCUGAGCUGCUGGCAGCACAGCCCACGGCCCCCAGCGCACCCAGAAACACCGCUGCAACUGCUCCCGGUUUAAUUUUUGGCUGUAAUUAGUAAAGAUGCUCUUUGUCUUGGAGGAUGAUCCGCACGGCAAAUCAGGAGGUUCUUGUUCAUCAGCCCCUUCCCCCGCCCAAGCUGGUGGUGAAGUAUUAUUUUCCUGCAACAAAAAUAGCUAAAGGGAUUUUUCCCUCGCUUCAACUGAUGAGUCUAAACUUGAAGAGCUGGAGCCCAGAAGAACAACUGUGCGGUGGAUCCCAGCCUGAACCCAGGUUUUGUUGACAAACUCCAUAGUAGUGUCAAUAUUGUUGUUUAAAUUGUAAAUACGUGACUUUUUGAUCGGUACAUCUGAUUGAAAUGCUUAAACAGUGGAACAAACGUUCUGCUGUAAAAUAAUUUGGGAGAGAGAAACCAUCUCAGUGAGUUUUGCUUUCCUCCUACCAAACGCACACAGAUACUUCGGUGAGCAAUAUGGGAAGCAAUCUGCAAAGUGUGCCGAUGUGCUCAGACUUCAAGGUGGCAAAAUGCAGGAGGACUUGUCCCCUGUUGGAUGGGGAGCUGUGGGUGAGCAGCGGGAGGGAUUUCUUUUGUGGUCAGGAAUCCGAUAGUCCCACACUCACCCAACCUUAAGAAAAAGGGGGAAUGAAGAGGGAGGGACGUGGAACAGUGGCAUUGAGAAAUAGUCAGGAAUUUGGCUUUUAGAGUGAAGUGUAGAAGGGAACCGUUGUUUAUGCUAAAGUUUAAUCCGUAUAAACUUGAUAACAUAGACAGGUCUUGCAUUCCUCCCCGAGGGUCAUGGAAGGGCUAAGAUUAGCAAAGGGGAGGUAUCCAAAGCAGGCGGAUCUGUGCAGUUUUUAAGGCUGUCGACUUUUUUUCUUAUUCAUCCCAUUCUAAAUGAGUUUUUUUCUACUCGCAAGCGGUCUUUUGAGAUGCAAUGUGAGUUAGUGUUGAAAACAACGCUUCAGCUCUCGAAUAUUUCCAAGUAAUUUUAGAGUAGAAAGGUCAUGGUGCUUUUGAUGUGUUCGUAUUUAGAGAGCGAUUACAAUUGCAAUCAUAUACAUUGACAAUGAGGCACUGUCUUCUUUUGGUAGCUACUCAUUUGCUGACUCAGGCAUGUUCCUGUCGUCCUUAUGGAGCCCGUGGUGCGGGGCUGGGCUUUCCUCUGCAGCCUUAUUCAUUUACAGGACUUAGCUUCUUGGGUGCUGUGCUGCUGGUACAGAAGACAGUGUGAGGUUCUGAUACUGGGAAUCCUCUUGUCUUGGAAGUGAGCGGUUUGAAAUGCAAGCCUUUGAUAGGGAAGGAGUAGGAAGGAGAUCUCUUCAUCAAACUUUGUAACAGAACAUAUCCGUUGGUGAUGAUUCAGUACAAAAAAAAAAAGUCAGGCUGCAGUGUUUCAGUUAGUCAGUGUCAGAUAAUGCAGUCUCAUGGUUGUGCAUAGACUUUGUGUCAUGGAAAUAAGUGGCUGGUGUUUUGGAGGAUUGUGUUGCAUGGAAAUAUUUGGAUAAGGAAGCCAUGCACACCAGCGCUGCUCAGCCUGGAGGAGGGGAAGGAGCUUCCCUGGGAGCGAGUAAUGGAGCUGCAGAGUGGUGCUGCUGGGAGGUAGGAGCAGAAGGCACAGCAUCCCAGCGUGGCUCUGGCUCAGCUGCACAGCACAGGAGCAGAAUGGUGUUUCUCAGCAUGGCCCUCUUUCUCUGUUCUGCCUCUGCCUGAACUGGAUCUAGAAUGAAGCUGCUCCUUGGAAGCCCUCCUCAGAUCGUUUGUUGGGGAGAGUGGGGAAAUAAGAGUGUAUCCUUGUUUACAGGCAGGGAAUACACUGGGAAAAGUUUGAGAACCACAUGGGAAACUGAAGCGUGCUGAGGGUGCAGCAUGGAGCCCUUAAAAUGUCUCACCCUGACCUGCAUUGCCAAUGUAUAGGCACUUGUCUGUUAAAGUGAACUGAAGAAUAUAGGAACCUUCUGAAUUUGUUUUGAACUUCAAGCUUUCGGCUAAAGGCACUAAACCAAAUCAUUUCCUGUGUUUUAGUGGCAUCAGGUUGAAAUAACUUGCAAUCAUGCUGCAGGAAUGUUCUCAGUAAUGAGGCUGUAGAUUAACUUUCGCCACAGCAAAAGAUCUGGAAGCUUCCUGCACCUACAGCCCCAGUGAACUUGUGAAGAGGAGGUGACUGCUGAUCUCCUUAAGUAGGAUCUGCCUGGCUGCAGAGGAGGCCUGUGUUCGGAUUCAGAGUUCCUCUUGGAGCUUCAUGAACGUCAAGGAUGUUGGGGAUCAAGGCUGCCUGGAGGUUAACAGGGAACAGGGACACUUGUGGGGUAAGGUCAGGUUCUGAGCAGCUCUGCAGUUUCUCCCCAGCUGUGGCAUGUGCCUGUCCCACAGCAGGCUGUGCAGGCAGGCUACCUGGCAGCACCUCCCUCCUGGAAGUGCCUUCCUGCUGGCUGCUGCCCGAGCCGCUUGCUGGCAGGGCCAGGCCGGCACUGGUGCGGCAGGGAUGUGGAGGCCGCCUGACGCUGUGUCAGCUGAAGUCAGCUCCAAACUAUGGCAGCGCUGCGCCCUGCGGGGUUACUCGGGGUGAGGCUGCGUGACACAGCCCAGCACAUCCAGCCUGCUCCUCCUGCAGUUCUGCCUUUGUCUACAAGCUCUGGUGCUCCUCAGGUCCCUCUUCUGAACUCGCCCAACAGAAAGCUGCUUUGGUUUUUUUUUUUCUCAAGUUUUGUUUUUUGCUGGAUUCUUUUGCCAAGAUAGUGAAUUGAAUUGGCUCACAAUAAGUUUGACAAGCUUCCAGAGCUCUCACAAAAUAUAGGGGAGAGCAUCUGGGAGGAAGUACAGAGGUUGUAGUGGGGAGCGACAGAGGGGAGCAGGACUGGCUCCAGUGACUUCCCUCUGCUACCCAAGGCAGGUGAGCUAUGGGCUGGCACGGUUGGGCCCUUGGUGGCUGUGUGUGCAGCUCUUGGGAUGAACCUUUGGUUCCCUGGGUGGAAAUGGGCAGUUUGGUCUUCUGGCAUAACAGCUUCUCAAGAAAUGGCAGAGAAGUUCUGAUGCAGGCUGGAGCCGUGAUGGUGGAGUGGUGGUAUAACCCAAUAGUGCUGCUUAGUAGGUAUAUUUUUGGUAGGUAUAUUUUCCGUAGGUAUAUUUUUGCAGAAAAUAAGCACAGUAGAGAGCUAAAGAGCUGUCUCUUCUUGUAAAAUGACAAAAUAUCAGUUAGUAUACAAGCACUGGAAACAUACAUAUAAAUAUACUGCACCAUGCUCCUUCCUUUGGUAGUGGGUCUGUAUUUUGUAUUGACCUGCGGGUCAUUAUGACUUGUGAGAUACUGAGGUAUGCACCAAAACGUGAAUUAGGGAGGAUACGUUGUCAAUCAGAUGUUUUAAAAAAUUAGGUAUAUCAAGUAUUCCAUAUGGCUGCGUUGAGAAGAAUAUGUAGAAAUAUGUAUGAGGAGAACACAGCAAAACUUGAAUUCAGCCAAGGCUGCCUGCAGUGGGAACUUCAGUGCCAUCUCUUUAAUAUGGAGAACUUUGUUGGAGUGGAGUCUUCUUGAUGUAAAGCAAUUGGCCGCGUGCUGCACAUCCCGGUGUGAGCUGCAGGCUGGGCUUCUUACUCCUUAUAUGGUGGGACUGGGGGACUGGUGGAAUUAAAGGCAGCAUCUUGGCCAUUUGAGUUGGAAUAAAGUGAUUUCAAUGUUAACGUGUCGUGGCACCUCCGAGUGCAUACAGCUAUCCAGAAAUUCAUAUUGGACGUGAGUAGUAUCUCUCAUGAGCAAGAAUUCUCAUCUAUUACAAGGUUUAUCCUUUAUUUCAUGAAGACCUGCACAAAUAACCCCAAAUCAAACGACAUACAGUAAGUGAAGAAGGUGGGAAGUUUCUUCAAGCAGCAGACUGUUACAUUUGGGGAUGCACCAUUCCCAAACCUGUCCCUUUUUGUAAAGUCUUGUCAGCAGGAGGGUCUGUGCGGAAGUCAGAGCAGCCCUGGUGUAGAUCAGACAUGAAGGAGAUGCCAUAUCCUCCCAGUGGGGCUCUGUGCAGGGAGGCCUCUCUGCGGUGAGACGUUCUUGGGCCGGAAUCCCAAGCUGGCAGCAGCCCUUGCACACACCGAUUUUGUCUGUGCUGUCAGAAGAACCUUGCCUGCUGCUUGUCUGGCUUAGCUGCCAAGAGGCAGAGCACAGCCUGGGUCGGAGGGUUACAGGGUGGGUGCAGAGAGCAAACGCGCAGUGGCACAAGUCUGUCAUAUGGCAGGGUCUGUUCAGACUCUGCAGGUUCAGAACACCCUUUGUGAAAACCUCAUAGAAGAGUGUGCAUUGAUAUCUGCUGUCACUGGUUUGCUCUUUCUUUGGUGGAGAUUGGGACUGUUAGCUUGAAACUGCGGUCAGCAGAAAUUCAGUGAAUUGCAGGUGGGGAAGGGAACCUGGCAGGAGCGGGGGGAGCAGAAUGGCUGGGCCAGGUGUUGGCACUGCUCCUCUUCUCACAGAGCUGCAUGGAAACGCAACAGUGAUCCUUUUGGUGAAGUACUGGGAUUGAACACCCCUUUUCUGUGGUACUGCCCAGAGGAGAUGGAUGGGGGUGAUUUUGGAGCAGUUGUUGUGAGCAAAAUUUGUAGCUUUUUACUGCGCUUGUGGUGUCAGAGUUUAAGGCUUCCCUGCUUUCUGUGAGUGAUAGCAAAGCAGGCUGCUCCCACGAGAGUCACUGUGUUGGGGCAGCAUUUUGAAGGAAUUCUGAUGCUUUCAGUUUUACUUGCAGAGAAGGUUGUGAGGGAGGAAAUAAACGGCCUUGACAUGUAUUUGAAACAUGAUGGAAACUUAUCUGUGUUCUGUAAAACAAAAUUACCUGGGUUGUUAGGAAAGAUGGUUUUACUGAAAUAGCUUGUGGGUUUAAAAAGUAAAAAUUGGUCUCUUGAACAAUGGGAAUUGCUCUGGAGUUGUGUUAGCGUUCAGAAGGUAUAAUUCAGCUUAGGUUAAAAUCUCUGUGGUUAAACUGCUGAUCUCUGCUUGUUGGAAUGGUGCCUCUUCUCCUGGAUGCUCAUCAGCCUGUGGGGGCUGAGAGCAAACAAGUGAGGCAGCCGUGGCAGGCAGUGGGGCAGUUGUCUCGCCCACACCAGGUUCAUAGAAUCAUACAACAGCUUAGCUUCUGGGAGGGACCUUAAAGAUCGUGGAGCUCCAACCCUGUGCUGUGAGCAGGGCUGCCAGCCAGGAGCUCAGGCUGCCCAGGGCCCCACGCAGCCUGGCCUCCAACACCUCCGGGUUGGUGCUCUGCGGGUUCUGCGCGUUCCUUUUGUGUCUUUCAGCAGUGCAGCAGAGCAAUACUGAUGUUAAUAGCUGUGGUGGGAGUGCAUUGUGUAGUGGACACAGGUGAGAAAACCAUCUGAAUUGUUGCUGGGGAAGCCUUGUAAUACGAGCCGUGGCAUUUUUCCUGCUUGUUUUCACCUGCAUUGUAAUGCUACAAGAUGGUUCAACUUAAGAACAAUGUUGGUAAUGAUUUGUAGCUGUCAGGAUUGAUAAACUAUGUGAAGGGGCCUUCAGAGCAUCUUUGGCAAACUGUUUUUGGAUGCUUGUGCGUUAUUUGGGCAGAUAACUUUGUGCUGUGUUCCUCCUAUGUGAGCUCGUUCUCCUGUCCAACUGUUACCCAGCUGAGGUCUUGACAGUUCUCAGUUUUUCCAUAAUGACAAAUUAAAUUAGCCCUAAGAUGACUGCUGCAUGUGAAAUUCCUCUUGGUUAAAGCUUGUUGGCCUGAAUUCUCUGGCUGUUGGGUUUUGGUUGUUUUUUUGUUUUGUUUUGUUUUUGGUUUUUUUUUUUUUGGGUGUAUUCAGUAUCUCGUGCUUGAAAAGGAACAGAGAAAGGAUGCAGAUGAGGAGAUGCUGGCGUUGAAGGUACAGGGAAGAGAACACAGCUUUCUUCUAGAACAGAAUCUGUCCAGCUGUGAGUUACUCAUCUUCAGUCUCGUACAGAAUGCAUCCAAUGUAAAUAGCUGAGCAUCUCCCUCCUGAAUGCGGCAAAGCAGCAUCUUUUACGCUUCUGUGAAGCUGUAACAGGCGCAACCCAUCUUAGGAGCGCCUUCAUACUCGUGAACCUGCAGCAUCCAUCAUUCUGUCAAGCCUCAUUUACUCACGUGAUGGGAUUUUAUUUUUAUUUUUUGGCUUCUCUUCCACAGUUUUCCAGGUUUAAAGAGGUUCCUUGCUGUUGGCAGAGAGUACGGCACUGAGAAUCCCAGACAGGAGUGAGAGCGGAGAACGUAAUGCAAGAACAAGAGUGACUCCUGAGUCAGACAGGAGGUUUGGUUCCUCUUGGUCAGGGCCAAAAAUUGGUGCUUAGGGAAGAAUGUAAGGUGAGAAGAUUGUAGGAUCUUGGCUAAGAUCUCUAAUUUCAGUGUAGUAGUUCAUGCUGUUACAUUAAACACAGCCCUGGUUGUAGUUGCUUUGAUUUCAUAUUGCUGUUCUUUAAGGAAAGGGGAAACAGCUUGACCAUUAUGACUUAUUUUUGGUUUGGUGUUUUUUUUUUUAUAUGGAUAAGUGUAUGUCUACAUUAAUCCUUUGUAUGUAAUUGUGGUUUUUUUGAGGGGAAAGAUAGGUUCUUGUUAGUGACUGAGGUGGGAAUGGGUGAGCUUUGUAUUAACUGCCCUGUGGGAGCUGGGAGGUAUUCUGUGCUGGUGAAGGGCUUUUGGACAUCCUUGUCUGAGCACUCAAGAAAACAGAUGCUGUGAGUGUGUUAGUAAAUAAAAGUACUGAUAAAGGUAGGUGCUGAUAAGUCUGAGCACUGUGUAUGUGAAAGAGAACAAUUAAAAUUACGUCAGUGCAUUGGCUGUUAAUACAUGUUUUAUGAAGCUGUGGGGAAGCUAACACCUUCAGCCAACAUCUAUUUAUGCCGGGCAGGAGCAGGCUCCAUCAGAGGAGUAGUUAGAGCCAGAGCUGCACUGGGGUUGUUUGAAGCAUUCUCCAAAGGCUUCUGAGAAUGUGUUCAAUGUAGUUUUAGUUUAAAAAAGGUUUUACACUUUUUUUUUCCCCCUUGAAAAAGCUACACAUGUACUCUGCAUGCUGUAAAGACUUAAUGGCUCAGGUUGAUGCUGCCUUGGGAUCUCUAAGCUGCGUGCAGUCUGUUGCAUGGUUUUAAACUUCCCCCAAAGAAUUGUGGUAAAUCCAUGUGCUGUUUUUCAGGCUGUGUCCGACAAACACAGGCUCGUUCAUUUGUAAGCUGCGAUGCCAAGUAUAAAAGCGACUAGGUGAGAUUUUCCAGUCUUUGUUAGGUGGAAAGUCAGAUCAUCAGAAGGUUAUUUCUGGCCUUAAAAUGCACACUAGUGGCCCUGGAGAAGAAAUGGGCAAAGGUCUGAGCAACUUGAUCCAAAUUGGCUCUGCUUUUGGGAGAGAAGGGGGUUUCAGGCAGCUCGCUUCCAGUGGUCCCUUCCAACCCAUGUGAUGUGCGGCAGGGGGGGAAGCCAGAGCGGGUGUCACUGCAGGGCCAUGGCUGCUGUGAGUGGGGGGCAGGAGCUGGAGGGGGGAAGGCAGGAUGCACUGCGACGAGAUGUGGUUGUGCUGGGGAAACUGCAUUAACAAGGGAGAUCUAAAAUAUCUGGGGUUGUAACUUUGAGAGGACACACCUAGUUUUAGAGAAGGUUGUGAGAUGAAAUCAGCUUUUAAUUUACUGCUCUUUAGUAUCUUUUUAUCUGGAUAGAAUAAAAUAUUUGAUAAAGCUUGCGUAAGACACACGGGUAGGAUAAUGAAGUAUCAUUAGGGAGCUCUGAAUUGUUUUUGCCACCUUUCAACGAAAUGCCUGAACCCACCCAGUUGCAAGGUGGUGCAUUUGUUAGCAAAACUGGAAACCCAGCCAUGCAUUGUGAAAUGGUGUUUUGGAAAGCAGUAGUUCCAAGGGCCUUAAGGUCACCUCAGCUAACUGCCUCUACGUGCUGCUUGGGUCAGCGUUCUGUUGGAAGGGUUAAUGUGAUUCUUGGGCACAUUAAAAAAAUAAAAAUUAGAAAAAAACAACAGAGAGAGGAAUGUCAAGGAAAAAUAAAUAAGUAAUCUUACAAACAGUAACGUUUAGACUGAUACUGAUAGAAUUGAAUUUUGGUUUCCAUGCUUCAAGAAGAAUGCCAGUGUAUUUGGAGAGAAUUCAAAGGACAGCUGCAGAAAUGAUCCAGGGACUGGAAAAUAAGCCUCAUGAUGUGAGGCUUAAAGGAGCUCAACUUACUCAGCUCAUUGAAAAGACAAUUGGGAGAGGACUUGAUCUUUCUGUAACAGGACUUGUGAGAUUUGCUGACAAAGGCAUAGCAAUAUCAACGGAGAUUGGACAAAUUCAGUCUUGAAAUACAGUUUCUCGGCAAUGACAAUAAUUAAACAUUGGCACAGUUCACGGGGAAGGGGAAAGGAGCAAACAUUCAUUUUAGCCUUUUAAAAUAGGUCCAGCUUGUUUCUUUCUGGAGGAAAUAUAUUGUGUGCUUAAAAAAAAAAUAGAUUAAUAGUCCUUUCCUGACACUGGUGUUUAAGAUCUGUAAAGUUGGAGCAAGUUCAGAUGUUCAGUCAGCAACAAGGUCAUGAAGUAAAGAUUAAUUUAGAGGAGAAAUAGUUAACCUGGUGCUAGCAUACUGCCUUGCAUAAGACACACAACAUGUGAAGGGAGCUCUGAAACUUAAUGCUUUGUGGCUUGCAUCUUUGGAACUCAGUUCUUUCCCAUACUGCGUUGCUUCAGAUGUUUAAGAUAUGAUUAAGGCUUUCUGAAAUCCUCUACAGAGAAGCACUGAUGUAACUGUGUGCACUCACUGUAUUCAGAUGAAUGUUUCUGAAUUCCAGUUGACCACAGCAGAAGUCUAAAUCUUUUUCAUCCUUUUUUAGAAGCAACGUUUAAAAAAAAAUAAAAUAAAAAAUGGCACAACGGUAAUGUGAUUACAGCUCCUCUAAAAGGCACAGUGAGUCUUGGUAGGUUCGUUCUUAAUGGGGGAUAUUCUCUGUCUCAGGUUAGCUGGAUGCAGUCUGGUGGUUUAUUAGUGUUUGAAAACAGUAUUAAAUAAUCAUCAAAAGCAGUAUUCUAAUGGCACUUGUUUGCUGUUUUUUCGUGACAUUCAAAUGAGAUUACUUAGCAAUCCUGUGCCUCCCUCACUUUGUACAUUCACCUGGGAAAUGGGUGACUCAGUUGGGUGAUGGCUCCGCAUCACACUUGUGCUUUUUAUGUGUUUGUCCAUUCCACCACUCCCUUGACGGCUGAGUUUCUAUGUUUUCAUAGAUUACCUUGCCCCGGGUGCCUUUGCAGAUGUGCAGGGCUCUAAAAUUCCCUUGCAGGUCCUUCCCAGCUCUCCAGACCUGCUGUGUGAUGCAGGCUGAGCUCUCCCAGCCAGCUUGACAUGCAGAGGCGGUGCCGGGCUCUCUCCUCUCCGGCAUGGCUGCAUUCCUGCCUCUCCUGUGCUCCGGGUCCUGCCCAGGAGCUGCUCGGCCUCCUUCCUCCCUGCUGCUGUGCACUCAGAGCAGGAAGUGCUCCCAUGUCCUGGGGAAGAAGGCAGCUCAAAAGCCUGUAGCUUCUUGCAUGUUGAGCCUAUCGAUUUGUCAUAGAAAUGGAGCUGUUUUGUAGCUGGGAAGGAGGUUGUCUAGCAACUGCGAGUUCUCUUGCUUAAGGCUAAAGAGAUAGCAAACUGCAGGAAUGUGUUGGGGCACUGUGCAGUGCAAAGCAAAGGCCUCCAGCUCUGCAAUCCAGCACUGCAAGUCCUCAUUGCUUACCUUGUCCAGGCAGCCCUGUCUGUCCCAACCUGCUGAAGCUUCUCACAGAAAGUGCCCUGCACAAAGGAGAUUGUAAGGGAUUGGCAGUGAAGAAAUCUCUCCUUCCCCCAUCUUCCUGCUGUGUCAUCGGCCCUUUUCCCCGUCACUGGGAGGCUGACGGAGGCACUGCGUCCCUUUGCCUGCAGGAGGGCUCUGGGCCUCUCCUCCGGUGUGAGCAACUCUCAUGUUUCACCACGUGGCUGCACAUACUUAUGUGCAGUUGUAAUUGCAUAAGUCAUUAAGAUGUUCUCCUUAUACUUCCCAUAAUCCAACAUUCAAAAAAUCCAGCGGUUGUGGUGGCAGGUAGAAUUUCAUUAUGGAUGUGUUACAGAACCAUUUCCUCAGCAUUGCUUCCACAUGAGCCCCACAAGUAGCACUUUUGGCAGCUGUUUGAUGUGAGCCCUCCUGUGUUACCACCCACCUGUACUUCAUGUGGUAGGUUGCAGUGCUGUGUUCUCAGAAGCUCUUUUCAGAGGAAGAAAUGGCUAAUUUUUCAGCAAGCCACCAAAACUGAAACCGUUCUAAGUAGCUUUUAUCUUUAUUUAGUCACAAGUUGCAGGUUCUGUCUGCUGAUUUCUGGACAUGUGCAUUUAGCUUGAAGAUGCGUUCAACUCGAUUAUCCACUUCUCAUCCCAUUAACAGAAAGCAG